UCCUGAUUCAUUAAAGGAUCGUCUGACACUGAGGCCAGCGCCGGCAGCCAUGUUCAGCAACGUUCCAGGUGAGACGAACAUUUGUGGUGCAAACUUUUCACUUGUCCCCCCCCUCUAACUUGACUCUGUGUCCUGAUUGGUGCUUCUACAGGCACCCACCCCUCAGGCUACAACCUGGGCCCCCAGCCAGGGGACCAGGGGCCUCAUGGGGGCCCCAAGCCAGAUGGAAAACACGGAGAAGAAGCUCGCCCUGGAGGGGACCGCCGUCGAGAUGGCGACCACCAACGUGAUGACCACAAAGAUGAUCGCCACAGAGACGAUCCCCGCCACGGUGAGGACCACCAAGAUGGCCGCCACGGAGGGGAUCGCCAUGGUGACCACAGCCCUCGUCACCAUCGCCGCAGGAGUGGCGGUGGAAGUCCCGAUCGGGACAACAGCGGAGGGAGUGGAGACAGCGGGAGUGGCAGCGAAGGUGAAGACGACGGCCACCGCAAAAAACAUGGCCACAAACACAAACAUGGCCACCACGGGCACGGCGGGCACGGCGGGCACGGCCAUGGACACGGGCGCGGGCGUGGACGUGGAGGAGGACACUGCUAGGAAGGCUGCAGACGCUUUUAUUUUGAAAAACCUUUCAUUAUAUGGACCCCUGUAAUUUGGUGAAUUUCUCCACAAUAAAACCUUCUGACGGCGCGAAGUGAAGCGGCUC
rnacentral:lncRNA from 1 species